AUUGGUAGCACGAAGAUUUUUGGAUUCUUAGGAUUAGGUUCGAUUCCUAUAAUUCUAG
rnacentral:tRNA from 1 species